AUUGAACGCUGGCGGCAUGCCUUACACAUGCAAGUCGAACGGUAACGCGGGGCAACCUGGCGACGAGUGGCGAACGGGUGAGUAAUGCAUCGGAACGUGCCCGGUAGUGGGGGAUAACUGCUCGAAAGAGCAGCUAAUACCGCAUACGACCUGAGGGUGAAAGGGGGGGAUCGCAAGACCUCUCGCUAUCGGAGCGGCCGAUGUCGGAUUAGCUAGUUGGUGGGGUAAAGGCCUACCAAGGCGACGAUCCGUAGCUGGUCUGAGAGGACGACCGGCCACACUGGGACUGAGACACGGCCCAGACUCCUACGGGAGGCAGCAGUGGGGAAUGUUGGACAAUGGACGCAAGUCUGAUCCAGCCAUGCCGCGUGCGGGAAGAAGGCCUUCGGGUUGUAAACCGCUUUUGUCCGGAAAGAAAUGGCUCUGGUUAAUACCUGGGGUCGAUGACGGUACCGGAAGAAUAAGGACCGGCUAACUACGUGCCAGCCGCCGCCGUAAGAC
rnacentral:rRNA from 1 species